rnacentral:tRNA from 1 species
GGGUUGAUGCCCGAGUGGUUAAAGGGAAUGGAUUGUAAAUCCAUCGGCUUAGGCCUACAUAGGUUCAAAUCCUAUUCAACCCA